rnacentral:rRNA from 1 species
AGAGUUUGAUCAUGGCUCAGAAUGAACGCUGGCGGCAGGCCUAACACAUGCAAGUCGAACGGGCACUUUCGGGUGCUAGUGGCGGACGGGUGAGUAACACGUGGGAACAUGCCCUUUGGUACGGAAUAGCCUCGGGAAACUGAGAGUAAUACCGUAUGUGCCCUUCGGGGGAAAGAUUUAUCGCCAAAGGAUUGGCCCGCGUUGGAUUAGGUAGUUGGUGGGGUAAUGGCCUACCAAGCCGACGAUCCAUAGCUGGUUUGAGAGGAUGAUCAGCCACACUGGGACUGAGACACGGCCCAGACUCCUACGGGAGGCAGCAGUGGGGAAUCUUAGACAAUGGGGGAAACCCUGAUCUAGCCAUGCCGCGUGAUCGAUGAAGGCCUUAGGGUUGUAAAGAUCUUUCAGUUGGGAAGAUAAUGACGGUACCAACAGAAGAAGCCCCGGCUAACUCCGUGCCAGCAGCCGCGGUAAUACGGAGGGGGCUAGCGUUAUUCGGAAUUACUGGGCGUAAAGCGCACGUAGGCGGAUCAGAAAGUCAGAGGUGAAAUCCCAGGGCUCAACCUUGGAACUGCCUUUGAAACUCCUGGUCUUGAGGUCGAGAGAGGUGAGUGGAAUUCCGAGUGUAGAGGUGAAAUUCGUAGAUAUUCGGAGGAACACCAGUGGCGAAGGCGGCUCACUGGCUCGAUACUGACGCUGAGGUG